rnacentral:rRNA from 1 species
AUUGAACGCUGGCGGCAGGCCUAACACAUGCAAGUCGAGCGGAUGAAGGGAGCUUGCUCCUGGAUUCAGCGGCGGACGGGUGAGUAAUGCCUAGGAAUCUGCCUGGGAGUGGGGGAUAACGUCCGGAAACGGGCGCUAAUACCGCAUACGUCCUGAGGGAGAAAGUGGGGGAUCUUCGGACCUCACGCUAUCAGAUGAGCCUAGGUCGGAUUAGCUAGUUGGUGGGGUAAAGGCCUACCAAGGCGACGAUCCGUAACUGGUCUGAGAGGAUGAUCAGUCACACUGGAACUGAGACACGGUCCAGACUCCUACGGGCGGCAGCAGUGGGGAAUAUUGGACAAUGGGCGAAAGCCUGAUCCAGCCAUGCCGCGUGUGUGAAGAAGGUCUUCGGAUUGUAAAGCACUUUAAGUUGGGAGGAAGGGCAGUAAGUUAAUACCUUGCUGUUUUGACGUUACCAACAGAAUAAGCACCGGCUAACUUCGUG